GACUCUCUCUCUCACACACACACACACACACACACACACAGACUCACACACACACUAAACCAUCAUUGAUCUUCACUGCAUUAACUGAGUCAUUCACAACGGUGGUCGAGAAGGUGGACUAUCUGUUUGCUGAAAACGGAUUGGUGGCCUAUCAGAAUGGACAGCUGGUUGCAGUACAGAGUAUCCAGGCGUACAUGGGGGAGGAUCUUCUUCAAGACUUCAUCAACUUCUGUCUCAACUACCUGGCCAAGAUUACACUACCCAGGAAGAGGUACUCUCUCUCUCUCACACCAUCUCUGUCUGUCUCAACUACCUGGCCAAGAUUAC